rnacentral:rRNA from 1 species
GACGAACGCUGGCGGCGUGCUUAACACAUGCAAGUCGAACGGAAAGGCCCUGCUUUUGUGGGGUGCUCGAGUGGCGAACGGGUGAGUAACACGUGAGUAACCUGCCCUUGACUUUGGGAUAACUUCAGGAAACUGGGGCUAAUACCGGAUAGGAGCUCCUGCUGCAUGUUGGGGGUUGGAAAGUUUCGGCGGUUGGGGAUGGACUCGCGGCUUAUCAGCUUGUUGGUGGGGUAGUGGCUUACCAAGGCUUUGACGGGUAGCCGGCCUGAGAGGGUGACCGGCCACAUUGGGACUGAGAUACGGCCCAGACUCCUACGGGAGGCAGCAGUGGGGAAUAGUGCACAAUGGGCGGAAGCCUGAUGCAGCAACGCCGCGUGCUGGAUGACGGCCUUCGGGUUGUAACCCGCUUUCGCCUGUGACGAAGCGUGAGUGACGGUAAUGUGUAAAGAAGCACCGGCUAACUACGUG